UACGAAGGGGGCGAGCGUUGUUCGGAUUUACUGGGCGUAAAGGGCGCGCAGGCGGUCUUGAAAGUCAGGCGUGAAAGCCCCGGGCUUAACCUGGGAAUUGCGCUUGAUACUCUGAGACUGGAGUACGGGAGAGGAGAGUGGAAUUCCCAGUGUAGAGGUGAAAUUCGUAGAUAUUGGGAAGAACACCAGUGGCGAAGGCGGCUAUCUGGCCUAAUAUUGACGCUGAGAUGCGAAAGCGUGGGGAUCAAACAGG
rnacentral:rRNA from 1 species